rnacentral:lncRNA from 1 species
CGCCGUCUCCGAGGUAAACAAACUUUUAUCAAAUCGCUCAUGCAUGCGCUGGGGUUGCAAGGGGUUCUUCCGUUCGAUAAUAACUUCUUGAUCCUUCCAUCAUGUGCAUACAUGCAUUAUAUUGUUUAGAAUAUUGAUGAUCAAUCCGCUGUUCUUGGCCAUUGGAUUAUGCAAUUAUUCAAGAAACUUCUCGCUUCGAUUUCUUGCUUCGUCUCUCUGUAAAAUGGAUUCACAAACGCCAAUUAAAACCGAUCGAUUGAUCUGCUGAAUGUUUUAAUCUGGAGGUUCCCUAUGUGAAAAAAAAAGAGAAAAAUUUGUGGCACAAUCUUGAUCUCACCAUUGAUCAUCAAUUGCCCAGGCCGGUGCUAGCUGCAGGGGCGCUCGGCCCGUUCGUAGCAGCCGCCGCCGCUGCUGCCGCAGGACAACAACGCGCGAGGACACCCCCCACAGAUCAUAUCCAUG